UUGACAUCCCGAUGCUAUUUCUAGAGAUGAAAGUUACUUCGGUACAUCGGUGACAGGUGGUGCAUGGUUGUCGUCAGCUCGUGUCGUGAGAUGUUGGUUAAGUCCCGCAACGAGCGCAACCCCUAUUGUUAGUUGCCAUCAUUCAGUUGGGCACUCUAGCGAGACUGCCGGUAAUAAACCGGAGGAAGGUGGGGAUGACGUCAAAUCAUCAUGCCCCUUAUGACCUGGGCUACACACGUGCUACAAUGGUUGGUACAACGAGUUGCGAGUCGGUGACGGCGAGCUAAUCUCUUAAAGCCGAUCUCAGUUCGGAUUGUAGGCUGCAACUCGCCUACAUGAAGUCGGAAUCGCUAGUAAUCGCGGAUCAGCACGCCGCGGUGAAUACGUUCCCGGGCCUU
rnacentral:rRNA from 1 species